AUUGAACGCUGGCGGCAGGCCUAACACAUGCAAGUCGAGCGGAUGAAGGGAGCUUUCUCCUGGAUUCAGCGGCGGACGGGUGAGUAAUGCCUAGGAAUCUGCCUGGUAUUGGGGGAUAACGUCCGGUAACGGGCGCUAAUACCGCAUACGUCCUGAGGGAGAAAGGGGGGGAUCUUCGGACCUCACGCUAUCUGAUGAGCCUAGGUCGGAUUAGCUAGUUGGUGGGGUAAAGGCCUACCAAGGCGACGAUCCGUAACUGGUCUGAGAGGAUGAUCAGUCACACUGGAACUGAGACACGGUCCAGACUCCUACGGGAGGCAGCAGUGGGGAAUAUUGGACAAAGGGCGAAAGCCUGAUCCAGCCAUGCCGCGUGUGUGAAGAAGGUCUUCGGAUUGUAAAGCACUUUAAGUUGGGAGGAAGGGCAGUAAGUUAAUACCUUGCUGUUUUGACGUUACCAACAGAAUAAGCACCGGCUAACUUCGUG
rnacentral:rRNA from 1 species